UACAGAGACUGCAAGCGUUAUUCGGAUUCACUGGGCGUAAAGGGUGCGCAGGCGGUUGGGUGUGUCAGAUGUGAAAUCCCGAGGCUUAACCUCGGAACUGCGUCUGAAACUACUCGACUAGAGUACUGGAGAGGGUAACGGAAUUCACGGUGUAGCAGUGAAAUGCGUAGAUAUCGUGAGGAACACCAGAGGCGAAGGCGGUUACCUGGACAGUUACUGACUCUCAGGCACGAAAGCAUGGGGAGCAAAAGGG
rnacentral:rRNA from 1 species